GGAGAGAUGGCCGAGUGGUCGAAGGCACACGACUCGAAAUCGUGCGCACCCUCAAAAGGGUGCCGUGGGUUCGAAUCCCACUCUCUCCGCCA
rnacentral:tRNA from 1 species